UUCUAUGCUUAACCCUUUCAGACCCCUUGUCCAUUUCAAUGGACGCUACUUUUCGAGAGUAAUAUCUCAUAUCUGAGAGCACAGAUGUUUUUAGGAUUGCUUGUACGUCGCAAUGGAAGUCUUGUGGUUCAAUCUGAUGGGCGAUCCUGCCAUCUAGUGGUGAAGUCACGAAGAAUUUGGACGUUGUUUGAGACAAAAUGGCCGCACAGAGGAAGCAUGUAAAAGAAUUUUAUCAUAUUGAGAGGGAUGCUUCCCAAAUACUGGAUUUGCUGAUGUCAGGUGAGGUUUCUGACUUAGAGCUCUGAGAAAACGAUGAAAGUGGCCCUGAUGAUGCAGAAUCUAUUCCACAAUGCACUAGACCUGUCACUACGAAGAGGAACAACUGGAGGACGAUAGUUGCAGCACAGAAGAAGAUGACCAAAAUCAUACUUAUCCACAGGACUCAAAUGUUGAAGACUCUAUUAUUCCAUCUGAGUGGGUGUUUACUGAAAAAAGUGAUAUUAGAUGGAGGAGAAAAUCGCCUACACUCCAAAGCACGCCUAUAGGUGAAGACCAGUAUUCAGUGCAGCCAUCAGAGUGUGAUAUGACACCCAUUGAAUAUUUUUCAGAGUACAUUUCUCAUGCUUGCUUAGAAAAUAUGGUUGAAAAAACCAACAUGUAUGCAUUGCAACAUGGGAAAACAUUUACACCGACAAAUGUAAUGGAAAUAAAGGCUUUCCUAGGAUUUCAUAUAAUUAUGGGAUGCUUGAAAUACUCCAGAGUCAGAAUGUAUUGGGAUUCAGCAUUGCAUUUAGAUCUCUUUGUGGAAAAUAUGUCAAGAGAGAGAUUUUUCCAACUGAGAUCAAAUUUCCAUGUUUAUGACAAUUUGGCAAGGCCAGAAAAUUGCAAAGACAAAUUUUACAAAGUGAGACCCAUUUAUGAUUGUAUGAGACGUAGAUGUUUGGAACUACAGAUUGAGGAAGAAUUAUGUGUUGACGAGCAAAUGAUUCCUUUCAAAGGUCAUUUAGGAGUAAAGCAGUAUUGUAAGGGAAAGCCUAAACCUUGGGGUAUAAAACUGUUUUUAUUAUGUGGAAGAAGUGG